rnacentral:lncRNA from 1 species
GUAGCAUUUAAUCUUCACAAAAAUCCUGUGAGUUCAAUGCUGUUAUUAUUUCCAUUUUACAGAGGAGAAAAUGGAGUCACAGAGAGGAAGUAAUAUGUCUAAAGUUACACAACUCAUAGUAGAAGCAGCAUGGGAACAGAAAGAGCUGACCCGAGUCCAUGCUCCUGACCAUGAUGCCACCAGUUGUGAGAUUCUGCAAAUAAAGGGUAAUGAUGGUAUUUACAGACAUCCAGGUUAACAUGGAAUCAUGCCUGAAACAUUUCUGCUCAACUUCCCUUUAAAAUACCCAUGAAGAUAUCAAAAGAGACAAAACUGGCAACUGCAUUAGACACUAGCUGUAAGAGAAGA